AGAAGAAUUUGGCCUCACUGAAUCUCAAAGAGGGAGUUGAUUUCUUCCACUUCAACUAGGCUAAGCUAGAAUACAUUAAAAUGCAAAUAACUUUGGGAUGUUUGAUGGAUAUACUCCUGCAAGAUCCCAGGGUGGAGAAAAAAAUAUGUAAAAUACUGGUAUACUCUGAAUAAUGUUGCCUCUAAAUAAAAAGAAAAUACUACUUUAAGGAUUAACUUAAUUUAUCUGUAGAGGACAUUUAACAGUCAGAGGCUUUAUCUGUAGCUAUGUGUAAAUUAGCAUUUAUAGAAGUGUUUCCCACAAAUCGUCUAUGAAAUGCUGAUGUGGACUGUUUGAAUGAAAAUUCCCGUGAAAGAAGUUGUCAGAUCAAUAAACAUAUAAAACAAUAAAUAAAAUAAUAUGUAUUUG
rnacentral:misc_RNA from 1 species